UGUUGAUACUGAUUGUCCAUUGUGUUAAACAGUGGUCAAGUUGAUGAUCAACCCACAACCCAGUUGAGUAGAUUAAUCGGUGAAACUAACAAGGGCAACAAUAAUUAGUCUGAGGAUAAGUUUAUAUCAAAAAGUUUCUUUUGUUGUUCAAUUGAUGUCAAUAUGUGUCCAAGACUGAUCGAAGAGGUGAAGAACAUGGAACAAAAUAUGCCAAUUGGAACUGGAAUUUCAAAUGAAAGCGAUUCAUUUUGAUUUCUGGUUUGAUUGAGAAUUAACUCCCAUAGAAAAUGGCUGAUGAUAAAAAAUUGGUAAAUUAAUCAGUUCUGAGGAUCAAAUUGGUUGAGAUUAAAGAGGCUGAUAAAAUUGAAUUCAAUUGAAUUCAGAGGGAAUUUUACUUGUUUUUCGUUAAAUUUUGAGGUGUUUUUAUGCAUCACUUGAUGGGAGUAACAAUUGAUCAACUUAUUUGGAAGUAUCGAGAUUGUUUUACAUGAUGGUUUUGAUUGUGCCAAAUAUUGCAAUUAUGGGUUUUUAAUGUUUUUAGGUCUAGAGGGUUUUAAUUUGGAUCAUUUUAAUUCAAGAAUUCAUUUGAGUGAGUUUACAUUUGAUAAUUACAUUUUUCUCUACAAGUUAUUCUAUGUUUUUCUGUACAGUAAGCUGUGUUCAAUCUCAAAAAGGUUUCAUUAGUUCACAGGUAGAUUCAUGGAAAACUGAUGUGACCCAAACGAAAAUGAUCUUCAUCUUUAACUUCAAUGUUGCUCUUCUUUGCCGCAGUUGCUCACAUUAAGUCAGCUCAUAAUGAAGAUGAUGAUUUGACAAAAUUUUAAACGAAAAUUUCAAUUGAUUAAUGAUAAUCAUCACCAUGAGUCCAUCAAAGUAAAACAUGUAGAGACAAGAAGCAGUACACAGUCAACACCAACCCCGACUGCAACGGGACAAAGAUUAUCAAACAUGACGAAUCAAACAAAGUUUUCUUCAAAAUUGAUUUUGUAAUGUUGUCACCAAGACCCGGUCUGGAGUGAAGCGAAUCAAGGUUGAUUCAAUGGAGAAAAGCUCACUUGGAUUAUUGAACAUUCAGGUGCAGGAUUGACUGGCUUUUUACGCGCCCUUCUCAACUGGCCAGUGUAUUUACCAAUAAGUUUGGCUGAGAUAAAACUGAUGCCUAUGUAAAUGAGGUAGAAUACCCAGAAAACAAUCUCAACAUGCUUAUCGAAAUCUGCUACUUUUUCCAUGUACAUCACGAAGUUUGUUUUCUUUCCCUCGACUGCACCGGUCAUGGCGGCUGCAACGAAGCACAUAAUGAAUCGACAGAUUCUCAAGUAGAGUCUCCAUUGAAGAAUAAUUGCCGUCAACAUGAGUCCAUCGAAUAAAACUUUUAUGAGACUGAAAUAAAUAAGGAUGGAGUCAAGAACAAUGAUCGACAUGACCAGAAAAAGAGCAUCCAGCACAAUGAAUAAUGCAAAGAACCAAAUCAAAAUGGAUUUCGUGAUGCUUUUGACUUUCCUUACAGUCGUGAUUUUCAUGGUAAAAAUGUUGAGUUUGUCACACUGAAUUCAACGAAAUUGGGAAAAACUUUUAUUGAUAAUUCACUUGAAAGGUUGAUUAUAAAGUGAAGAGUUUUUAAUCAAUGCGGUAAACUCAUCAAUAUUUAACUGAGCUUCUUCAUUUUAUUGUAAAACUGUUCAUUUUAAUCCAUUGUUUUAUUCAACCAUUGUAAUAGAAAUGAUAAAAUGUUAUUCAAACUUGAAUUGAUAAGUUGAAGCAAAAUAUUAAGAACAGUCUAAUCAGUUCUCUAUUGAUUGUCAUGAUGAAAGUCCAUGCAUUUUUUGCUAAUUUUAACUGUUUAUUGCGUAUAAAGAAUCUGAUAUUGACAAUCAUAAUUAUUCAAUCUCCUUCCAAGUUCAUCAUCUUUGCUGGAUUUUCCCUCACUGACUGUUUGGAAACUGGUAGAUUUGGAUAGCAAAUUUAAAAACAAUGACAACUUAUCAACUCAUCAGGAUGUAUCUGUAGGAAGCGCUUGCUUUGAAAAAUGAAUCUCGGUUAUUCUGUUAGUAAAGGUUUGAUUUUUUUAGUGUUCA